CCUACGGGAGGCUGCAGUAGGGAAUCUUCCACAAUGGGCGAAAGCCUGAUGGAGCAACGCCGCGUGGGUGAAGAAGGUCUUCGGAUCGUAAAACCCUGUUGUUAGAGAAGAAAGUGCGUGAGAGUAACUGUUCACGUUUCGACGGUAUCUAACCAGAAAGCCACGGCUAACUACGUGCCAGCAGCCGCGGGAAUACGUAGGUGGCAAGCGUUAUCCGGAGUGAUUGGGCGUAAAGGGAACGCAGGCGGUCUUUUAAGUCUGAUGUGAAAGCCUUCGGCUUAACCGGGGUAGUGCAUUGGAAACUGUGAGACUUGAGUGCAGAAGAGGAGAGUGGAACUCCAUGUGUAGCGGUGAAAUGCGUAGAUAUAUGGAAGAACACCAGUGGCGAAAGCGGCUCUCUGGUCUGUAACUGACGCUGAGGUUCGAAAGCGUGGGUAGCAAACAGGAUUAGAUACCCCGGUAGUC
rnacentral:rRNA from 1 species